AGACGAACGCUGGCGGCGCGUUUAAGCAUGCAAGUCGAGCGGCAAGGGCCUUCGGGCCCCUAGAGCGGCGGACGGGUGAGUAACACGUGGACAAUCUGCCCCCCGGCCCGGGAUAGCCCAGGGAAACCUGGAUUAAUACCGGAUGAGACGGGACCCGCGAUGGCGGGACCCGGGAAAGGCGCUGCGGCGCCGCCGGGGGAUGAGUCUGCGUCCCAUUAGCUAGACGGCGGGGUAACGGCCCACCGUGGCGACGAUGGGUAGCCGGCCUGAGAGGGUGGACGGCCACAUUGGAACUGAGACACGGUCCAGACUCCUACGGGAGGCAGCAGCUAAGAAUCUUCCGCAAUGGGCGAAAGCCUGACGGAAGCGACGCCGCGUGAACGAAGAAGGCCGUGAGGUUGUAAAGUUCUUUUCGGGAGGGGGAACAACCGUGGCAGGGAAUGGCCGCGGGAUGACGUGAAUCCCGGAAUAAGCCCCGGCUAACUACGUGCCAGCCGCCGC
rnacentral:rRNA from 1 species